GUCCUAUCUAGUAUGGUGGUUAUUACACUCGGUUUGUAAUCGAGUGGGCUCGGGUUCGAAUCCCGAAUAAGGCA
rnacentral:tRNA from 1 species